CCCAGACUCCUACGGGAGGCAGCAGUGGGGAAUAUUGCACAAUGGGGGAAACCCUGAUGCAGCGACGCCGCGUGAGUGAAGAAGUAUUUCGGUAUGUAAAGCUCUAUCAGCAGGGAAGAUAAUGACGGUACCUGAGUAAGAAGCCCCGGCUAACUACGUGCCAGCAGCCGCGGUAAUACGUAGGGGGCAAACGUUAUCCGGAUUUACUGGGUGUAAAGGGAGCGUAGACGGCAUGGCAAGUCUGAAGUGAAAGCCCGGGGCUCAACCGCGGGACUGCUUUGGAAACUGUUAAGCUGGAGUGCAGGAGAGGUAAGUGGAAUUCCUAGUGUAGCGGUGAAAUGCGUAGAUAUUAGGAGGAACACCAGUGGCGAAGGCGGCUUACUGGACUGUAACUGACGUUGAGGCUCGAAAGCGUGGGGAGCAAACAGGAUUAGAUACCCCAGUAGG
rnacentral:rRNA from 1 species